rnacentral:rRNA from 1 species
UACGUAGGCAGCAAGCGUUGUUCGGAAUUACUGGGCGUAAAGAGUGUGUAGGCGGUGUUCUAAGUCUGUUGUGAAAUCUCCCGGCUUAACUGGGAGGGUGCGGCGGAAACUGGAAUGCUAGAGGAUGGGAGAGGAAAGCGGAAUUCCACGUGUAGCGGUGAAAUGCGCAGAUAUCAGGAAGAACACCCGUGGCGAAGGCGGCUCUCUGGGACGGUACUGACGCUGAGACGCGAAAGCGUGGGGAGCGAACAGG